rnacentral:rRNA from 1 species
UACAGAGGUCUCGAGCGUUAGGCGGAAUCACUGGGCUUAAAGCGUGUGUAGGCGGAUCGUUAAGUGCCUUGUGAAAUCCCACGGCUUAACCGUGGAACUGCUUGGCAUACUGGCGAUCUUGAGCAACCUAGGGGCGAGCGGAACAAAUGGUGGAGCGGUGAAAUGCGUAGAUAUCAUUUGGAACGCCAAUGGUGAAAACAGCUCGCUGGGGGUUUGCUGACGCUGAGACACGAAAGCCAGGGGAGCAAACGGA